rnacentral:lncRNA from 1 species
CCCCUCCCCCCGGGGCGUCUGGUGGCAUUCCUAGGCUAAAAGGCACCAUGACAUCCAAAUUUACUUCUCUGAGUUAUGUUUUGUAAAUCUAAAUAAAUUAUGUUGAUUCUGUGUACCUUAUCAUUAUUGAGAUUGAUAACUUCAUUUACUAAGCCUUCAUUUGGGAAGAAUUUAUAAAUAGAUAGAAAUGAGUGGUGGAUAAGUGGAUUGUACUUGUAGGUCUAUUGGGAUGUGUGAUUGAAAAUGAAGUUUGACUUAUUUAUAGAUUAUUUAUAAUAUUUUUUCAAAUGGAAGCUAAAUGAUCAUUUUUUUUCCUCUCUGCUUUGAUUGAUUUUUCUUUUACUAGGAUAUGAUUUACAUUUUAGGUCAUUGAUAUAUAUAUAUAAUGUUAGUGAGAUCAUUACUCUAAUAGACCAUUUAGGCUCAUGAUCUGACAUGUCUGAUUUGGUUCAUUCAAGCUUAGCACUAUUAAAUCUCUGUUGAGCCUGAGCCACCUAACGGACAUAACUCAUAAUAUGUUUAAUUAUUUUAAAGGCAUAUUGAUUAAUUAUAACUGUACCAAAUGUAUAAUAUUUGAGAGCUCUUAUUUGCUUCAAUUAUAUGGUGAACAGCUUGGACUCAAUUCUGUAUCUCACAUCGUGUCUGUAGAUUCACUUUCCUUCUUUCACAAUCAUCUUCUCUAAUUGUGGUAACUUUUCUAAAAUCUGUGUAACAUACUUUACUUAGAUACAAAUGAAAAAUGAAAAAGAAAACAUUUGCUUUCGCCCUUGAAUGAUAAAAUUGUUACUGGCAAUGAGGAUUUUGAACUAUUAAUAUUCAAAAUUAAAAGUCAACAACAUUAUGGGAUUUGUCCUUCUUCAAAGUGUAAUGUUUAUUAUGAUCUUGCCAAAAAAAUUUUAACUCUGCCAAAGAUGCCAUUGCCCCUGAUAGAAUGAAUAUAUUAUCUUUCCACAAUAUUUUAUUAACACCCCUGUUUCUUAUGUGUUUUUAUGAGCCCUACUUAAUUGGAAAAAUUUGCAGCAAGUGGUUUCUUGAAAAGAUUGGUCAUGAAGGUAUUCUCACUUUCCUUGGUUUCUUUUUAUGAACAAUUAUUGCACAUUCAUCCUUUUAACCCUCCCCAUAUCUUUAUUUAGAAAGUUGCUUAUUUUUAUUCUCUACUAGGUUUGAACAAUUUAUUGAUGGCAUAUGAGGAUAAAUCAGCGUAUGCUCUCUGUGUAUUCUCUCUUUCUCUCGGGCCAAAUGCUGAUCCAAUUACCUUUUUGGGAAAAACAGUGGUAUGAUUCUGUGCUUUCAGAACAAAGCAUAUUAUUGUUUUGUACUUUGUAUUCCAAUAAAUAGAUGUCACAACCAAUCUUCUUCCAUACUAAUUGGUUAAUUGCUACUGAACUAGGCUUAACAAUUUGAGUGAUACGUAAGAAAGAAACACUGGACGUGAAAGAAAAUUAGAAAUUUGAAAGGUAAACAUAAAAAGACCAGGAAAAUUGUGAAGGAAAUGUAGCGAUACUAUUCUAUCCAUUACAGCAUACAGUGCAGGUUCCUAUUACAUGCAUUUGUAUAGAGGAUUUGAUCUAGUUCCUGCCCAGUCACAUGUUCAACUUAAAAUGUAAAUAUAAUUUGAAAUUAAAAAUAAAUGAAAUAAAGCUGGUAAUCUGGAGUGCGAGAGGUGUGUUUGGUGCUAUCAAGUGCUUUGACAGCUAGAGUCAAUUGAAAAUGUGUAAAGACUAUGCUGCCCUAAUUAUUGAGGAAAAUUUAUUGUGCGUCUCUUCAACUUUAUUCCUCAAUUGUUGGUGGGGUAUAUCAACUGAUGUUUUAGAUACAAAAGCAAAAAAAAUUGUUUCUGAAAAGUGGCAAGGGAUCAAGCUUUGCAUUCUUGGGAUGAAAUAAUUAAGGACAAAGUCUCAUGAGUUGUCUCGGCUCCCAAACUGUGUGUGAGUUUCCUUAUAAGGCUCUUAACUUGAACUAAAAAUUGAGAACUAUCUAUUUACGUUGAUACGAAUAACUUCAAAGUUUUUGUUGAGAACCUGAUUGUUAGGACUCUUUAAUGCAUCUGAGGAAUGCAGAACUUGAACCUCUACAACUCCUGAAGCUCUGUGCCUUCUUAAAAAAGAAUGAAACAACAAGGAAAACAGAAGGAAAAAAAUUGUUUUAGCUGUUAAUGGAUCAAAUCCCAAUUUUUACGUAUAUAGACUUGUUAAGUAUAUAAUGUAAACAUCGGAUUGAACUGCACUGAUGAUGAAGAAUGAAAUUUGUGGUUUUCCUGCAUUGAGUACUAGAUUACAGUUUUCCCUGUGUUACUUGCAUGAGUGAGAAGCAUCCUUAUUUUUCUCUUUAUUUUCGAAAGGAAGCAACUAAUGAAAUGAUAAAAUUCUUUAUUCACAGCGUAAUGUUCUCCACUUUUUCUUGCUUGGCCUCCAGCACAAAAUAAAAAUAUUAUAAGUUCUGAUGGUUUCUUUAUCUGAUGAAAUAUGGAAGCUGUAAUUGAUGAGCAAAAGGCAGGCCUUUGAUAUUUGUCAGUAUUCUGAUUCUAACUGAAG